UAGGGAAUCUUCCACAAUGGACGCAAGUCUGAUGGAGCAACGCCGCGUGAGUGAAGAAGGUUUUCGGAUCGUAAAGCUCUGUUGUUGGUGAAGAAGGAUAGAGGCAGUAACUGGUCUUUAUUUGACGGUAAUCAACCAGAAAGUCACGGCUAACUACGUGCCAGCAGCCGCGGUAAUACGUAGGUGGCAAGCGUUGUCCGGAUUUAUUGGGCGUAAAGCGAGCGCAGGCGGAAUGAUAAGUCUGAUGUGAAAGCCCACGGCUCAACCGUGGAACUGCAUCGGAAACUGUCAUUCUUGAGUGCAGAAGAGGAGAGUGGAAUUCCAUGUGUAGCGGUGGAAUGCGUAGAUAUAUGGAAGAACACCAGUGGCGAAGGCGGCUCUCUGGUCUGCAACUGACGCUGAGGCACGAAAGCAUGGGUAGCGAACAGG
rnacentral:rRNA from 1 species